UACGUAGGGUGCAGGCGUUAAUCGGAAUUACUGGGCGUAAAGCGUGCGCAGGCGGUUUGUUAAGACAGGCGUGAAAUCCCCGGGCUUAACCUGGGAACUGCGCUUGUAACUGGCAAGCUAGAGUGUGGCAGAGGGGGGUGGAAUUCCACGUGUAGCAGUGAAAUGCGUAGAGAUGUGGAGGAACACCGAUGGCGAAGGCAGCCCCCUGGGCUAACACUGACGCUCAUGCACGAAAGCGUGGGGAGCAAACAGG
rnacentral:rRNA from 1 species